UACGUUUCUCGGAAGCAGGAAAAGGAGACUCCCACACGAAGAGAACUGACUGUUGGCACGCCCUCUGGCUCCACUGGGCUUAAAGAGAAAAGCACCAUCAAGCAAUGGUUCGCCUUUAGAAAGUUACGAUGAACUAUUUCCGCGCUGGGACGUCACAAUUUUUAAAAGUCAAAAUGUUUUUUUAAGAAAAGCAGCUGUCGCAAUACUUGAAGACUGUUUGGGGAUUCCCUGCGGCUGGCAGAGGCUUCAACCUCCGGUUUUAUCGCAAGUCGGUAUUAUCUGCUUCCAUUUUUCUCGUUGGCAUAAAACUUUUUCAACCUGCCGCCUUCAAAACCUCCAGGAGUUUAAAGGUGGAUAUUCUGGCGAUACCUUGGCCACGAUAAAUGUUGACUGGAAAGGUUUAUAUGUCUGCAGCCAGCAGAAUAAAGUUACAAGCUUCGAUUUCUAAAA